AGAGAAAAUAUGUGGAGCACAGAACAACAGAUGAGGAGUUUAGCAAGACAGAUGAGACACUUUAGAGAUCAGAAAAGAUAACCAGAAUGACAGCAAAGACAUGGGGAACAUCAAGUAAACAAAGCAGGACAUUCAAAGAGCAACGUAGACCAGAGAAGGAUAUUAUAAACCAAAUAGAUAUUAUCCAAAGUGAUGGUCCUCAUAUAUAUACUCCUUAAUAUACUCCU